GAACAAAAAAUAAAUAUAUAAAAUAUAGCAAAUUUGGACAAAGGAACUAAAACAAACUUAGUAUAAAUUACAUAAACUAAAUACAUCAAUUUAAAUUUGGAGGAAUAAAAACAUACAUAUCCUAAAUUUAAAAGAUUAAAAACAUUUUUAUGCCUUUAGUUUAGAAUGAUAGAAUUUUCUUAUUGUUUCUUGUUACGUCAGCCGCUGGCUUCUGAUUCCAUUGUUCCGAUGAAUCGUGGGAUGGGUUAUGAUCGAUUGCCUUAAAAUCUAGAAACAUGAAAGUGUCAAUAUAUUAUAAGAUGUGCAUAGGUGGAGUAGUUGAAGUUUACACCAAGAAUAAAAAUAGGAUUGUUGCAUCAUUAAAGGCUAUCGUUAAGCAAGUAUAUAUAUACGUUGUUAAUGUUGUGCUGGAUAUCUAUCCAUUAUUAUCAAUCAGAUAAGAACAUGCAUUUCUGUCUUAUGGAUUUGCUCUUCUGUUAAAAAGUCAAGAAAAUAAUUAUUGCAUGAUGAUUGAUGUAACGGAGUGUAUUUUAUUGUUUGAUUUGUAUCCCCUUGCUUCUGUAAAUAGUAGACGUGGCGUAGGCUACAGUUAAAUAAAAUAUUAAUUUGGACUUUGGAGAAUUAAAACGGACAGUUGUAUCAAUAAAGAUCAAAGUUAGUACGUACAUUUGUUUCGGUGUGUUGGACCCCUUAUCAAAUGUGGAUAACAACUACGGAAAAGGUUGAGUGUCUGGUUUCAAGCUUUGAGGAUGUUUCUCUACUAGCAAUUUUAUAAGGCUAGAGUUUGAGUAGGGAAUCGGAUAAGAGAGAAUGCAGAUAAGAACCAUGGAAAAGGUUAAAUGUUUUUUUUUUUUGGUACAGAAAAGGUUAAAAUGUUUGGUUGCAAGCUUUUGACGAUGUUAUCUUUUGACAAUUUUUUUUAGUUAUGGAGUGUGCGAAGGGACUGAGAUAUAAUUAGUUUUUAAAUAUAUUUGUAAGUCAUUUUAUAUUUGAAUUUAUUUUAUGAGUGUCUUAAGGAAAUUUUUAACCUGUAUAAAGGUUUUUAUGUGGGAAAAAAAAGACAAUUUUGUCUCUAGAUCUAGUUUAAAUUAACUAUAGUCUUCAUAACUUGUUUAAAUUAAGUUUAAAAUGAUUUUUUUUUUCAAGUCCGACUCGAGUAGUGAGUUAUUGUUUUAAUUAUGGAAUUAAUUUAAUUUGGAAAAAUUAUACUUUACCCUUCUUUAAUUAUUUUUCACUAUAAUACUUAUAAUUGACUUAAAAAAUUAUUGAAUCGUUAAACCGGACUAUAUAUAUAUAUAUAUAUAUAUAAGGAAAAGGCUUAUAUCAUUUUAUUAUGAAUCAUAGAACUCAUACAAUUGGGAGUGUUAUGAAAGAAAUGCAAACUAGCUUACAAUGUAGAUGUUCUCGAAUAGUGAUAAACAACUUGAUUUGUUUCUGUUAAUAAAAAACUCAAGCUGAUGCGGACUAAAUAAAUUUUAUUACAACCAACAUAAAUGAUUUUAAUUAUAAUAUUAAUUUCAUUUGGUUGAAAUUGCCACAUUGUUAAUUUCAAUCAUAAUAAUAACCGGUGGGUUUUACAUGACAUCGAUCCAACACUACGGUAACAGACAAAUAUACUAACGUUUCAACAAAAUUUGAGCUUCAAAAUCUAUUUGUAGAGAGCACAAUUAAAUUUAAGCAUAAAAAAAACAUAAUUAAAAUUGUAAUUUGAUAAUACUUCACCGACAAUUUUAGCAAGGUAACAAACAUAUAAUAUCGUUGUAAACAAUCUUACCCUGGAGAGUUUGAGGGGUGAGGAUAGCUUUACCUAGAGAAAAAGAAGGCGAUUGAUAGAACAAUCUUACCCUGGAUUGAAGGUUGGUUGUGAAUGAUGGAGGUGAGUGGUGGUCUAAGGAGCAAGGAUGAUGUUUGGGUUUCUCUUUGGCCGUGGAGAGGUGGAGGAAAAUUG
rnacentral:lncRNA from 1 species